AACGAACGCUGGCGGCAUGCCUAACACAUGCAAGUCGAACGAGACCUUCGGGUCUAGUGGCGCACGGGUGCGUAACGCGCGGGAAUCUGCCCUCUGGUACGGAAUAACUCAGGGAAACUUGAGCUAAUACCGUAUAAUGACUUCGGUCCAAAGAUUUAUCGCCUGAGGAUGAGCCCGCGUCGGAUUAGCUAGUUGGUAGGGUAAAGGCCUACCAAGGCGACGAUCCGUAGCUGGUCUGAGAGGAUGAUCAGCCACACUGGGACUGAGACACGGCCCAGACUCCUACGGGAGGCAGCAGUGGGGAAUAUUGGACAAUGGGGGAAACCCUGAUCCAGCAAUGCCGCGUGAGUGAUGAAGGCCUUAGGGUUGUAAAGCUCUUUUACCCGGGAUGAUAAUGACAGUACCGGGAGAAUAAGCCCCGGCUAACUCCGUGCCAGCAGCCGCGGUAAUACGGAGGGGGCUAGCGUUGUUCGGAUUACUGGCGUAAAGCGCACGUAGCGGCUUUGU
rnacentral:rRNA from 1 species